AUCCCAGGAACUGAGAAAGAAUGAAAACAAAAUCCCGAAAAAGAAAAUUUAAAAAAAAAUACAGAGAGAAAAACUCUUUCACCCCGCGUCUUACGAUCCCGGGACUCGAGGAGGAGGAGGAGGAGGAGGGAGAGAGAGAGAGAGAGAGAGAGAAAAAAAACAAAAUGAAGAACUUGGAAAUCCAACCUCUUUUAGCCAACCGCAUCCCAACUAACACAUCCAGGGACAGAGAGAGACCAAACGGGACGGAGAAAGAAAGCCCCGAGCCCGGCACAGAAGCCAAGCGAAAUCCCCCCCUCGCUCCCUUUCCCUCGGAGAAAGACGGACCCUCACGCCGAGCUCCAAGCUUCAUCUCCCGGCUACGACCCCAGGCAGCUGCCGGCACUUUCAGCCCUCAGUCCCGCGCUCGCAUCGUGGCGUCUCCAACAGCCCAGCUCUCAUCCUCUCAAUCACCACUAAAUAGAUAGCUAUUUACUUCAACAGACCGCUUGCAACCCUAAAACAUUGCAUUAAAAAAAUGACCAUAAGGGGGGUCGAGACUAUGUUGACGGCUGGUCAAGAUCAGGUUGGUGCGGAUGUAAACAUACAGAACUUUACGUUUGAAUGCAUAGAACUGGGAUACACACUUAUGAAACUUGCGCUCGCAAAGGGGUGGAGAGGUGACAGCUAUCUCAGUGGACUCUUGCACCAGUGACACAUUUGGAGUUAGCAGGAAAAGAAAGCUGCCUCCUCGGGAUGAACUGGGGCAAGUAUCGUCUGUCCCCAGAGUGACAUUUGUACUUACACCACGGAGCAAAGCUGAAAGGGUUUCUCAUGCUGAAUGGGGAUUAACCUCCUCCAGAACGUCAAGCAGAAUUUACAGAAGGGGACGAAAGGCACUUUAGUGCAUUCCUGCUGACUCUCUCCGGCUUGUUAAAUCGUUGAAACUAAAAGUUGCUGUUAACUUAUUUACCAUUGUUUGAAUCACAUUGUGCAAAAGCCAUGAUAACAUUAUUUACAGAAGUUCCCAUAGUGCCACUGCCUUCAAAAAUAUGC